rnacentral:rRNA from 1 species
UUUAACUUGAGAGUUUGAUCCUGGCUCAGAAUCAACGCUGGCGGCGUGCCUAACACAUGCAAGUCGUACGCGAAAGCGGCCUUCGGGCCGUAAGUAGAGUGGCAAACGGGUGAGUAUCGCGUGGGUGACCUGCCUUCGAGUGGGGGAUAACCUUCCGAAAGGGGGGCUAAUACCGCAUAACAUCCCACCCUUGGAUGGGUGGUGAUCAAAGCCGGGGAUCGCAAGACCUGGCGCUUGUAGAGGGACCCGCGUCCGAUUAGCUUGUUGGUGGGGUA